rnacentral:lncRNA from 1 species
AAGACUCCGUGGGCGUAGGACCCUCCGAGCCAGGUGUGGGAUAUAGUCUCGUGGUGCGCCAUUUUUUAAGCCCGUCAGAAAAGCGCAGUAUUCGGGUGGGAGUGACCCUAUUUUCCAGGUGCGUCCAUCACCCCUUUCUUUGACUCGGAAAGGGAACUCCCUGACCCCUUGCGCUUCCCCAGUGAGGUAAUGCCUCACCCUGCUUCGGCUCGUGCACGGUGCGCGCACCCACUGACCUGCGCCCACUGUCUGGCGCUCCCUAGUGAGAUGAACCUGGUACCUCAGAUGGAAAUGCAGAAAUCACCCGUCUUCUGCAUCGCUCACGCUGGUAGCUGUAGACCGGAGCUGUUCCUAUUCGGCCAUCUUGGCUCUCCCUCGUCUUAUUGAUUGGAGAGCGAUUGAUUGGAGAGUGCAGACGUAUGCAGCAACAGGUUUGUCAGAUGUGGUGGUCAUUGCUCUUACUCCAGCUUUGCAUCCUAGAAUCACCUUGUUCAGAUCAUCACCACUUCUCAAUUGGGUGAUGGUGGUAGUUUCCUACCUACUGUUGUUACCGGAGAGGGGUCCCGAUCCAGAUCCUGAGACGGUUUAUGAAUCUCACUCAAGAAAGAAUUUGAGAAUUCAAGGACUUAUGGACUAUGUUGCACUCGCAUAUAAACUUCAUAUAAAGAGGAAUGAGACAAUGUCAAAG